AAUAAAUGUAAUUUUGCAUUAUUUAUGUCUAACAUUUGACCGUUCAUCUUAUUUGAAUUUUUUUUAUAGUUAGUUUUUUUUAUUAUUAUUAGAUGAUAAGACAUUAAUAGUACUUUAUGUGUGAUUAUUUUUUUCAUAAAUUUUUCAAAUAAGAUAUACGGUCAAACGUUGGACAUAAAUUCCCACAGCUGUACUUAUU
rfam:Oryza sativa (indica cultivar-group) chromosome 9, whole genome shotgun sequence.